UACGGGGGGGGGCAAGCGUUGUUCGGAAUUACUGGGCGUAAAGGGCUCGUAGGCGGCCAACUAAGUCAGACGUGAAAUCCCUCGGCUUAACCGGGGAACUGCGUCUGAUACUGGAUGGCUUGAGGUUGGGAGAGGGAUGCGGAAUUCCAGGUGUAGCGGUGAAAUGCGUAGAUAUCUGGAGGAACACCGGUGGCGAAGGCGGCAUCCUGGACCAAUUCUGACGCUGAGGAGCGAAAAGCCAGGGGAGCAAACGGG
rnacentral:rRNA from 1 species